AGUGGAAAUCCUAGGUGGUUGAUUCUAGUAGUCAUAUGAUAUUGUUUCUGUAGAGGUGAGAGGAGGAAACAUGGCACAUAAUGUUUACAAUUGAUAUAUCUCUCAUAAAAAAAAAUUUGGAAGAAGCUAACCAUCGGCUUGAGGAAGAGAGAAGUUCUUAAAGAAAAUGGACUAAAUAUAAUUAGAAUAAAACAGAUUAUAUAGUGUGUGAGUUAGAAGGAA